AGCAGCCGCGGUAAUUCCAGCUCCAAUAGCGUAUAUUAAAGUUGUUGCAGUUAAAAAGCUCGUAGUUGAAUUUCGGGGUUAGUAGGUUGGUCAUGCCUCUGGUAUGUACUGGUCUCACUGAUUCCUCCUUCCUGAUGAGCCGUAAUGCCAUUAAUUUGGUGUUGCGGGGAAUUUGGACUGUUACUUUGAAAAAUUAGAGUGUUUAAAGCAAGCUAACGCUUGAAUACAUUAGCAUGGAAUAAUGAAAUAGGACGUUCGAUCCUAUUUUGUUGGUUUCUAGGAUUGACGUAAUGAUUAAUAGGGAUAGUUGGGGGCAUUAGUAUUCAAUUGUCAGAGGUGAAAUUCUUGGAUUUAUUGAAGACUAACUACUGCGAAAGCAUUUGCCAAGGAUGUUUUCAUUAAUCAAGAACGAAAGUUAGGGGAUCGAAGACGAUCAGAUACCGACGUAGUCUUAACCAUAAACUAUGCCGACUAGGGAUCGGAUGAUGUUAAUUUUUAAUGACUCAUUCGGCGCCUUAAC
rnacentral:rRNA from 1 species